ACCUUCUGGAAUCAGCGGCCUUCGGAAACUUCUAUCAUCCAGGAAGCUGUGGGGGGAAGUUGGAAGACACGGACGGGAACUUGAGAACCCACAAGCCAGGAGUAGAUAGAAGUUCAACAUUUAUUAAAGCUAUAAAAUCGACUAUUUCUUUAUAGUCGUUCCCAACCAGGAGCUCAUUUACUUAGAGCAUUAUUUUCUCCCUCCUUCCCACCCCGGCUCCGAGAAGAUGGUAGAGCCCACUUCCUUUUUUCAAAACUACCGGAGAUCUCGCGAUGGAGGGAGGAGGGACACCCCCAGAAACACUUAAAGAAGAAAGGCAGUCAGGAUGUGUUCCAUCUACAAGUCUUGAGGGCAACAGUUUGAAGAAAAGCAAUUGGGGGUUCUUAUUUACUGGCAUUGUUGGGGGGACGCUGGUGGCCGUGUACGCUGUGGCCACACCGUUUAUAACACCAGCCCUCCGAAGAAUCUGUUUGCCUUUUGUACCUGCAACUGCAAAGCAGAUUGAAAAUGUUGUGAAAAUGUUGCGAUGCAGGAGAGGACCCCUGGUAGACAUCGGUAGUGGCGACGGGCGUAUCGUAAUAGCAGCUGCAAAGGAAGGAUUCACAGCUGUGGGUUAUGAAUUAAACCCCUGGCUCGUCUGGUACUCCAGAUACUGCGCUCGGCGGGAAGGGGUGCAAGCAUCGGCCAAGUUUUACAUCUCAGACUUGUGGAAGGUCACUUUUUCGCAGUACUCAAAUGUUGUUAUCUUUGGUGUGCCCCAGAUGGCGUCUCCCCGCACUUGCUUACCCAUUGUAAAGGAGCAGUAGUAACCACACUGUGCAGACACCAGAAAACUCCUUGACCGAGUGGUACGUCACCCUCAAAGCAGGAGGACCCCGUGGGCUCGGGACCGUGGAGCCCUGCGAAGUUCACAGCCCCGCUCGUGGGGCGUUGCCAAGGACACAAGCGCCAAGUCAUCAUGAGCGCGUGUCAGAGGGACGCCCGGUGCUGUUGAUUUUAAGAUGUACCAUUGCUGUUGGGAAAGAAAAAAAAAUGUUGCCAAUUAUAAUUCUAAGACAAUGUCAAUUGUAAGAUGUAUCCUGAUUUCAGACAUGUUAAAAACGUGGAAAAAGAUACGUAAUUCAGACAGGGUAGAUUGAAAUGUUUAGGGAUGCAGAUACAAAAGGACAUUGAGAAAUCAUUUCCUCCGACUACCCGCUCACUGAAAUGGUGGCUGUCGUUCUCCACAGAUGCUGCAGUUGGAGAAGAAGCUUGAGCUUGAACUUGAGGACGAGGCUAGAGUCAUUGCUUGCCGGUUCCCCUUCCCACACUGGACCCCGGCCCAGGUCACGGGGGAGGGGAUAGACACCGUGUGGGCCUACGAUGCCAGUUCUUUCAGGAGGAGUAAGAAAAGG